GGUUAAGCGACUAAGCGUACACGGUGGAUGCCCUGGCAGUCAGAGGCGAUGAAGGACGUGCUAAUCUGCGAAAAGCGUCGGUAAGGUGAUAUGAACCGUUACAGCCGGCGAUGUCCGAAUGGGGAAACCCAGUGCAAUUCGUUGCACUAUCGUUAACUGAAUACAUAGGUUAACGAGGCGAACCGGGGGAACUGAAACAUCUAAGUACCCCGAGGAAAAGAAAUCAACCGAGAUUCCCCCAGUAGCGGCGAGCGAACGGGGAGCAGCCCAGAGUCUGAAUCAGCUUGUGUGUUAGUGGAACGGUCUGGAAAGUCCGACGGUACAGGGUGAUAGUCCCGUACACCAAAAUGCACAGGCUGUGAACUCGAAGAGUAGGGCGGGACACGUGGUAUCCUGUCUGAAUAUGGGGGGACCAUCCUCCAAGGCUAAAUACUCCUGACUGACCGAUAGUGAACCAGUACCGUGAGGGAAAGGCGAAAAGAACCCCGGCGAGGGGAGUGAAAAAGAACCUGAAACCGUGUACGUACAAGCAGUGGGAGCACCUUCGGGUGUGACUGCGUACCUUUUGUAUAAUGGGUCAGCGACUUAUAUUCUGUAGCAAGGUUAACCGUAUAGGGGAGCCGCAGGGAAACCGAGUCUUAACUGGGCGUUAAGUUGCAGGGUAUAGACCCGAAACCCGGUGAUCUAGCCAUGGGCAGGUUGAAGGUUGGGUAACACUAACUGGAGGACCGAACCGACUAAUGUUGAAAAAUUAGCGGAUGACUUGUGGCUGGGGGUGAAAGGCCAAUCAAACCGGGAGAUAGCUGGUUCUCCCCGAAAGCUAUUUAGGUAGCGCCUCGUGAACUCAUCUUCGGGGGUAGAGCACUGUUUCGGCUAGGGGGUCAUCCCGACUUACCAACCCGAUGCAAACUACGAAUACCGAAGAAUGUUAUCACGGGAGACACACGGCGGGUGCUAACGUCCGUCGUGAAGAGGGAAACAACCCAGACCGCCAGCUAAGGUCCCAAAGUCAUGGUUAAGUGGGAAACGAUGUGGGAAGGCACAGACAGCCAGGAUGUUGGCUUAGAAGCAGCCAUCAUUUAAAGAAAGCGUAAUAGCUCACUGGUCGAGUCGGCCUGCGCGGAAGAUGUAACGGGGCUAAACCAUGCACCGAAGCUGCGGCAGCGACACUAUGUGUUGUUGGGUAGGGGAGCGUUCUGUAAGCCUGCGAAGGUGUGCUGUGAGGCAUGCUGGAGGUAUCAGAAGUGCGAAUGCUGACAUAAGUAACGAUAAAGCGGGUGAAAAGCCCGCUCGCCGGAAGACCAAGGGUUCCUGUCCAACGUUAAUCGGGGCAGGGUGAGUCGACCCCUAAGGCGAGGCCGAAAGGCGUAGUCGAUGGGAAACAGGUUAAUAUUCCUGUACUUGGUGUUACUGCGAAGGGGGGACGGAGAAGGCUAUGUUAGCCGGGCGACGGUUGUCCCGGUUUAAGCAUGUAGGCUGGUUAUCCAGGCAAAUCCGGAUAAUCAAGGCUGAGGUGUGAUGACGAGGCACUACGGUGCUGAAGUAACAAAUGCCCUGCUUCCAGGAAAAGCCUCUAAGCAUCAGGUAACAUCAAAUCGUACCCCAAACCGACACAGGUGGUCAGGUAGAGAAUACCAAGGCGCUUGAGAGAACUCGGGUGAAGGAACUAGGCAAAAUGGUGCCGUAACUUCGGGAGAAGGCACGCUGGUGUGUAGGUGAAGCCCCUGCGGGUGGAGCUGAGACCAGUCGAAGAUACCAGCUGGCUGCAACUGUUUAUUAAAAACACAGCACUGUGCAAACACGAAAGUGGACGUAUACGGUGUGACGCCUGCCCGGUGCCGGAAGGUUAAUUGAUGGGGUUAUCCGUAAGGAGAAGCUCUUGAUCGAAGCCCCGGUAAACGGCGGCCGUAACUAUAACGGUCCUAAGGUAGCGAAAUUCCUUGUCGGGUAAGUUCCGACCUGCACGAAUGGCGUAAUGAUGGCCAGGCUGUCUCCACCCGAGACUCAGUGAAAUUGAACUCGCUGUGAAGAUGCAGUGUACCCGCGGCAAGACGGAAAGACCCCGUGAACCUUUACUAUAGCUUGACACUGAACAUUGAGCCUUGAUGUGUAGGAUAGGUGGGAGGCUUUGAAGCGUGGACGCCAGUCUGCGUGGAGCCAACCUUGAAAUACCACCCUUUAAUGUUUGAUGUUCUAACGUUGGCCCCUUACCGGGGUUGCGGACAGUGUCUGGUGGGUAGUUUGACUGGGGCGGUCUCCUCCCAAAGCGUAACGGAGGAGCACGAAGGUUAGCUAAUCCUGGUCGGACAUCAGGAGGUUAGUGCAAUGGCAUAAGCUAGCUUGACUGCGAGCGUGACGGCGCGAGCAGGUGCGAAAGCAGGUCAUAGUGAUCCGGUGGUUCUGAAUGGAAGGGCCAUCGCUCAACGGAUAAAAGGUACUCCGGGGAUAACAGGCUGAUACCGCCCAAGAGUUCAUAUCGACGGCGGUGUUUGGCACCUCGAUGUCGGCUCAUCACAUCCUGGGGCUGAAGUAGGUCCCAAGGGUAUGGCUGUUCGCCAUUUAAAGUGGUACGCGAGCUGGGUUUAGAACGUCGUGAGACAGUUCGGUCCCUAUCUGCCGUGGGCGCUGGAGAAUUGAGGGGGGCUGCUCCUAGUACGAGAGGACCGGAGUGGACGCAUCACUGGUGUUCGGGUUGUCAUGCCAAUGGCACUGCCCGGUAGCUAAAUGCGGAAGAGAUAAGUGCUGAAAGCAUCUAAGCACGAAACUUGCCCCGAGAUGAGUUCUCCCUGAGACUUUAAGUCUCCUGAAGGAACGUUAAAGACGAUGACGUUGAUAGGCCGGGUGUGUAAGCGCAGCGAUGCGUUGAGCUAACCGGUACUAAUGAACCGUGAGGCUUAACCUU
rnacentral:rRNA from 1 species